rnacentral:lncRNA from 1 species
CGCCGGAAUCGCAAAAGGCUCGUUGAUCCCGAGGAAGAUCGCGAGACCCCCAAGCACCCCACCAUAUUGAUCACUUCGUCUCGCUCGAAGUCAAUCUUGUACACGUCGAAAUCAAUUGUCUUGUACGGAAUCCUCAUGAAGUGACAGCCCGUAAUGGGACAACACGAUUUGUCCACGAGGGCCCGAAAGGCCCCACCCGGGGGUUGACGUGGCGCACCACGAGAAACACGUCGCCGGAAUGCUCGUCGCAGACCAUAUAAAACACCUGCAAGAAUCAGAUUGUAUGAUUUUUUAAUGGAGAGGCUUCUGAAUCAGUGAGACUAGGAAUACAUGAAGAUGGCCAUGCAUGCUCAUGCACGAGGAAACAUUUACUAAAUAAAAUUCAUAAUUUUGAAAAGU